rnacentral:rRNA from 1 species
UACGUAGGUGGCGAGCGUUGUCCGGAAUUACUGGGUGUAAAGGGCGUGUAGGCGGGGUGUCAAGUCAGAUGUGAAAUUCCGAGGCUUAACUUCGGGUGUGCAUCUGAAACUGAUGCUCUUGAGUGUCGGAGAGGAAAGUGGAAUUCCCAGUGUAGCGGUGAAAUGCGUAGAGAUUGGGAGGAACACCAGUGGCGAAGGCGGCUUUCUGGACGACAACUGACGCUGAGGCGCGAAAGCGUGGGUAGCGAAC